GAUGAACGCUGGCGGCGUGCCUAAUACAUGCAAGUCGAGCGAACAGACGAGGAGCUUGCUCCUCUGACGUUAGCGGCGGACGGGUGAGUAACACGUGGAUAACCUACCUAUAAGACUGGGAUCACUUCGGGAAACCGGCGCUAAUACCGGAUAAUAUAUUGAACCGCAUGGUUCAAUAGUGAAAGACGGUUUUGCUGUCACUUAUAGAUGGAUCUGCGCCGCAUUAGCUAGUUGGUAAGGUAAAGGCUUACCAAGGCAACGAUGCGUAGCCGACCUGAGAGGGUGAUCGGCCACACUAGAACUGAGACACGGUCCAUACGCCUACGGGAGGCAGCAGUAGGGAAUCGUCCGCAAUGGGCGAAAGCCUGACGGAGCAACGCCGCGUGAGUGAUGAAGGUCUUCGGAUCGUAAAACUCUGUUAUUAGGGAAGAACAAAUGUGUAAGUAACUAUGCACGUCUUGACGGUACCGAAUCAGAAAGCCACGGCUAACUACGUG
rnacentral:rRNA from 1 species